UACGUAGGUGGCAAGCGUUAUCCGGAAUUAUUGGGCGUAAAGCGCGCGCAGGCGGUUUCUUAAGUCUGAUGUGAAAGCCCACGGCUCAACCGUGGAGGGUCAUUGGAAACUGGGGAACUCGAGUGCAGAAGAGAAGAGUGGAAUUCCACGUGUAGCGGUGAAAUGCGUAGAGAUGUGGAGGAACACCGAUGGCGAAGGCAGCCCCCUGGGCUAACACUGACGCUCAGGCACGAAAGCGUGGGGAGCAAACAGG
rnacentral:rRNA from 1 species